UACGAAGGGGGCUAGCGUUGUUCGGAUUUACUGGGCGUAAAGCGCGUGUAGGCGGACUGUUAAGUUGGGGGUGAAAUCCCGAGGCUCAACCUCGGAACUGCCUUCAAAACUGGCGGUCUAGAGUGAAGGAGAGGCGAGUGGAAUUCCGAGUGUAGAGGUGAAAUUCGUAGAUAUUCGGAGGAACACCAGUGGCGAAGGCGGCUCGCUGGCCUUUUACUGACGCUGAGACGCGAAAGCGUGGGGAGCAAACAGG
rnacentral:rRNA from 1 species